UGGGGAAUCUUGCGCAAUGGGCGAAAGCCUGACGCAGCGACGCCGCGUGAGUGAUGAAGGCCUUCGGGUUGUAAAGCUCUGUGGGGAGAGACGAAUAAGUGGGGUCGAACAGGCUCCAUGAUGACGGUAUCUCCUUAGCAAGCCCCGGCUAACUCUGUGCCAGCAGCCGCGGUAAUACAGAGGGUGCAAACGUUGUUCGGAAUUACUGGGCGUAAAGCGUGUGUAGGCGGCCUCGUAGGUCGGAUGUGAAAGCUCUCGGCUCAACCGGGAAAGUGCAUUCGAAACCACAAGGCUUGAGUGUCGGAGAGGAAGGCGGAAUUGUCGGUGUAGAGGUGAAAUUCGUAGAUAUCGACAGGAACACCUGCGGCGAAAGCGGCCUUCUGGACGAACACUGACGCUGAGACACGAAAGCGUGGGGAGCAAA
rnacentral:rRNA from 1 species